UCAUGUGAGGGUGAUCUCACUUCAACAUCUGCCACCCACUGAUCACCAGGGUUGAUUCAGCUGAUGUCUGGCUACGCGGGUGUCCCCUUUCUCCACUGUUCCACGUGUAGCCCUCCUCAAGUUGAAAACUUGGUUGAAGAGGAUGACCUUCCCUGAUAGGAAAGGACCAUUCUUUAAUAAAGGUGUGCAAGUAGCUCUGUAAGCUCUCAAGGUAAAGGUGUCUCCUGCACUGCCAGUCUUAUAGUCAAUCACUGCAAAUAGCAAGAAGCCUAAUUUCUGCGAGAUUCUAAGUUGCGAUCCAUCUUGCCAGUUUCGUUUGUAAGCAAGGACGUCUGCAUUUAAAUAAAC
ensembl:misc_RNA 7SK 7SK RNA